rnacentral:lncRNA from 1 species
UUUAUCCUGUCGAACUUCAAUACUGAAAACAAAGAGGACCUUAACCUGCCAGUUGUCCAUCAGCUACCAUGCGUGAUCCAAAGAUGAAGGAGGAUGUUACUGGAAAGACUCUAAACUGACAUCAAGAGGAUUCGUAUUUCAUACCUAAUUGUUACUUGGAUGCUUUAGGAAGACUGCUCUUGGGCCUCCUGCUCCUCUCGUCUGCACAUGAUCAUCCAGGGCAACACCUGAAGGAAUCGAGCAACGCCUGCACUGUGGUGUCUUCCAUUUUCUCCCUACGUAUCAGAAACUUGAUCGUCUGCCAGUGAGUAAUAAAUACAUUCUUUCAUGCA